AGAGCGAACGCUGCGGCAGGCUUAACACAUGCAAGUCGAGCGGGCGUAGCAAUACGUCAGCGGCAGACGGGAGAGUAACACGUGGGAACGCGCCCUUCGGUUCGGAAUAACUCAGGGAAACUUGAGCUAAUACCGGAUACGCCCUAACGGGGAAAGAUUUAUCGCCGAAGGAACGGCCCGCGUCGGAUUAGCUAGUUGGUGAGGUAAUGGCUCACCAAGGCGACGAUCCUUAGCUGGUCUGAGAGGAUGAUCAGCCACACUGGGACUGAGACACGGCCCAGACUCCUACGGGAGGCAGCAGUGGGGAAUAUUGGACAAUGGGCGAAAGCCUGAUCCAGCAAUGCCGCGUGAGUGAUGAAGGCCUUAGGGUUGUAAAGCUCUUUUACCAGGGAUGAUAAUGACAGUACCUGGAGAAU
rnacentral:rRNA from 1 species